UAUUAUAUAUAGUGCUGGCACGGAUUUUGAAUAUCUAGUAGGGAAAAUUACAUGGGAUGGAAAACAUCCCUAUGUAAUUAGUUAACAAUGAUAUAGUUUAAUUUAUUUAUUGUGAAUAAAUACAGUUUCAAUUUUUUUGCCAUAAUUAAGGGGACCCACUACCUAUUUGUAUACAUGAUAAAAAUAGUCAUCCAAAGAUUUUGUAUAUAAUUUUAUUCAAAAUCAAAUUUAUCUAUCUUAUUCUCAUUCCAUAUCUUUCUCUUACGAUUACUCUUCCCUUCCAUUUUGACCUUCUCCCUCCGAUGGUUCUUUCACUUUUCGCAGGUUCUAUGGCAAGACAUAAACAAAUUCAAAUUGAACAAUCUAUUGAAGAACUGAGAUCCAUGACAAAAAAAAUGAUGUAAUGACAAGUCAUCAACAACGCGAAAUCUAGUGUCAUUAAGAUUGUUGAAGGUGGAAUUAAGAAAAAAGCCAUAAACAUUGAUUCAGAGGAGAUUGAAUCUGCCUUAUCAGAACUGGACAAAUCUGAAGAAUAUCAAGAACAUCAGGUAGUGUAAUUUAUAUAUAAAUAACAAAGUUAUGCAUAUAGUGGGUUGUAUAUUAAGGUAAUAUAUACAAAGUAUUAUGAGACAAUCUUAUUGUAUAUUCUUUAGUUGUAUACCAACUACUAAAUUUAGGUAUAUAGUGUGUUGUAUAAUAAGGUAACAUAUACAAAGUCUUAUGAGGUA